rnacentral:rRNA from 1 species
CACGUAGGCGGCUUGGUAAGUCAGAUGUGAAAGCCCGGGGCUUAACCUCGGAAGUGCAUUUGAUACUGUCAAGCUUGAGUAUGGGAGAGGGAAGUGGAAUUCCUGGUGUAGAGGUGAAAUUCGUAGAUAUCAGGAGGAACACCGGUGGCGAAGGCGACUUCCUGGACCAAUACUGACGCUGAGGUGCGAAGGCGUGGGUAGCAAACA